GAAAGAAGAAUCUUUAACCUCUGCUCGUCUGAAAGGACCUUUCCAAAGCCAGCCCUCCUGAGGCAGCAGCCUGGGCCCCCUCCUGGCUCAGCUCAGCCCUGGAGCGCCUCACUCAGCCGCAGCUCCCACCAGUCAAACCCACAAUGACACCUUUGGAAAGGACCCAACUACCAGGCUAAAUCAAUAGAUUACCUGGAAGCUGUAUUCUGGAAAGAUGUUACCCCAAAUGGUAAAGGUGAUAAUGAGGACGAUGAAGAUGACAACCACAACUGCCAGCAUUUCUUGAGUGCCAGCCGUGCCCCCGGAACUGUGGAUGUACCAGGCUGCAGGCUCCAGCGCAGAGAAGGAGAAGACGGAGGCGGUGGUGAUGUCAACCAAGGAAUUAAGUAAGCAGAGGAGCUGAUAACACUGCCCGACAAGCCCUGCUGUGGGCAAGGUGACUCAUCAGAGACGGGCCCCACAUCACAGGCCCCAGGGGCGCCGCGUACUGUUGUCCAAGUUGAGAACUGUACAACUGGAGGGGGCACCAUUCACCGUCCAACGCAUGUGCCAGACCGCAUGGCUGUACCUGAUGGCCCCGCCCCUUCUCAUUUCUAAAUUACUUCUCACUCCCCUCCUCCGCCUAGAAUGAUCUAUUUAGCUUGCCCUUGAUAAGUUUGUCUUCACACCAAACUUUCCCCCAUAAACAUAAACUUCCUCCUCUACUGCCUGACUCCUUUUGUUCAUUCGUUCAUUCCACAAAAAAUUGUUGAGUUUGUGCCAGGUACUGUUCUAGGCAAGUGAACCAGACAGACCCUCCCUGAGCUCAUGGAGCUCACAUCUAGGGGGUGCUGGGUUGGAGGGGUGGAAUAAAUAAAUAAUUUGUGACAUAAAACUGCAAGUGACAGUAAGUGCAGUGAAGAAGAAUGAAGCCAGGCCAGGAGGAGGAGGGUGACAGGGCCCUACUUCACC
rnacentral:lncRNA from 1 species